rnacentral:rRNA from 1 species
GGGAUCUUGCGCAUGCGCGAANCGUGNCGCAGCAACGCCGCGUGGGGGAAGAAGGCUUUCGGGUUGUAAACCCCUUUCAGUUGGGACGAAGCUUUGCCGAUGAAUAGUCGGUUGGAGUGACGGUACCAUCACAAGAAGCACCGGCUAACUACGUGCCAGCAGCCGCGGUAAUACGUAGGGUGCAAGCGUUGUCCGGAAUUAUUGGGCGUAAAGAGCGUGUAGGCGGCUCGACAAGUCCGCUGUGAAAGUCCAGGGCUCAACCCUGGAAUGCCGGUGGAUACUGUCGAGCUAGAGUCCGGAAGGGGCGAGUGGAACUCCUGGUGUAGCGGUGAAAUGCGCAGAUAUCAGGAAGAACACCAAUGGCGAAGGCAGCUCGCUGGGACGUGACUGACGCUGAGACGCGAAAGCGUGGGGAGCGAACAGGAUUAGAUACCCUGGUAGUCCACGCUGUAAACGAUGGCAACUAGAUGUGGGGGGUGUCGACUCCCCCCGUGUCGAAGCUAACGCAUUAAGUUGCCCGCCUGGGGAGUACGGCCGCAAGGCUAAAACUCAAAGAAAUUGACGGA